rnacentral:rRNA from 1 species
CAGCCGCCACGGGAAUACGUAGGUGGCAAGCGUUGUCCGGAAUUAUUGGGCGUAAAGGGCUCGCAGGCGGUUUCUUAAGUCUGAUGUGAAAGCCCCCGGCUCAACCGGGGAGGGUCAUUGGAAACUGGGAAACUUGAGUGCAGAAGAGGAGAGUGGAAUUCCACGUGUAGCGGUGAAAUGCGUAGAGAUGUGGAGGAACACCAGUGGCGAAGGCGACUCUCUGGUCUGUAACUGACGCUGAGUAGCGAAAACGUGGGGAGCGAACAGGAUUAGAUACCCGCGUAGUCCCUGUCUCUUAUAU